rnacentral:rRNA from 1 species
GUGUCAGCCGCCGCGGUAAUACAGAGGGUGCAAGCGUUAAUCAGAAUGACUGGGCGUAAAGGGCGUGUAGGUGGUUGACUAGGUUUGAUGUGAAAUCCCCGGGCUUAACCUGGGAAUUGCGUCGAAAACGGGUCGACUGGAGUGAGAUAGAGGGUUGUGGAAUUUCCGGUGUAGCGGUGAAAUGCGUAGAUAUCGGAAAGAACAUCAGUGGCGAAGGCGACAACCUGGAUCUUAACUGACACUGAGGCGCGAAGGCGUGGGGAUCAAACAGGAUUAGAUACCCUCGUAGUCC